GCGAGCAUAGCUUAGUAGGCAGAGCGUCAGAUUGUGGCUCUGAAGGUCACGGGUUCGAUCCCCGUUGCUCGCCCCA
rnacentral:tRNA from 1 species